rnacentral:tRNA from 1 species
GCUCCUGUGGUGGAAUUGGUAGACGCGGUAGACUCAAAAUCUAUUGUUCUUAUGAACGUGCCAGUUCAAGUCUGGCCAGGAGCACCA